GUAGCUACAGGAUACCUGGUGCUUAGGCCCCUUAAGGACUCCACUCCUGAGCAAGGUCAUAAAUUCUAGCACUUUACAUACCGAAGCUUAGGAAGACAGAAUAUCAGAUCAAGAUUCUCUCUCUAGCAGAGAUUGGAGAUUCCUGAGUGAGAAGAGUGGAAUAUGAGAAGGAUGAAAGCCUGUACAGUUCCUGGACUACCUGCCCAUAUAUCUUCCCUUGAGGAAGAAACACAGUGACAAGAACAGAAACAGGUUCAUACAUUCAGUCUGUAUUUGCUGUUACUAUUAGCAAGGCUUCAUACACCACUCACAGUACAUACACAGGCCAUAGGAUACUUUGAAGGCUGAAUUGAUCCAUUAGCCUGUGGUGCUACAAGCCUGGGCCGCAAUAAUGCUGUAUCCCUCCAGAGGCCUGGCGUGAAAUCAAAUAGGAGGCUGUCUCCAGUGAAGGUGCCUUUUUCUGUCCCCAUCUUUAAUAGGCAGCAAUCUUUAUUUCCCUGGAGGAAAAUGGCAAUGAAUUUGAAAUGGGAUAAAUCUUCAGGAAUGCAAGAUACU
rnacentral:lncRNA from 1 species